rnacentral:lncRNA from 1 species
AAAUAAGAUGUUCAUACCACACCCACACACACACAAAAGUAGCAGCAGCUGAUGUGGCAGCACCACCCAGGGGAGCCCAGCCUGACAGCCGGCCUCAGCCUGAUCCCACCAGGAGCCUGGAGCAGGAACAGCAGCCCAGAGCUUGUUCACCCAGAGGCAGGAGCCUGGCCCGCCUAUCCAGAUUGGCCCUCCCAGGGGCUAGUUCUCUCCAGUUUACAGAAGAGGAAACUGAGACACAGAAAGGCGUUGCUGAGAGUGGAUCUGAAAAGUCCUCAUCACAAGAAAGAAACACGUAUACCUAUGAGUGGUGAUGGAUGUCAACCAGACUUCCUGUGAUGUCCGACAUUCAGAGAAAUGGACACAUUCACGCAUGGCUGCUAGGAGCAGGGCUCUCCCCAAAAAGUGUUCCUCAAGGAAGCAACCUAGAUGCCCAACCAUAAGGGAUCAGUUUAAUAAAUCAAGGAAGAGCCCCCCAGACGGACGAUUAUGAAGCCUUUCAGCACAAGAGGGGAGACUGGUAUUGCUGGGUGUGGGAAGUGGGCCUCCACUGACAAAUCAUGUGUACAGUGUGAUUCCACUUUGGCUAAGAAAAGAAAAGAGAAAUAAAAAAAUCUAGAAUGAAAUAGACCAUCAUGCUAGGAUCAGUGAUUUCUGAGUGUUGAUUUUAUUUUUAAAAUUUCAUGCACUCAACAGAGCUUGAUGGAGGACCCGGCGUGGGCCAGCCGGCCAAGGGCAGGGCCGCUGUCUGAAGGUCACC